AGCGGCGGACGGGUGAGUAAUGCUUGGGAAUAUGCCUUUGAGUGGGGGACAACAGUUGGAAACGACUGCUAAUACCGCAUAACGUCUACGGACCAAAGGGGGGGAUGCUUCGGCACCUCGCUCAUUGAUUAGCCCAAGUGAGAUUAGCUAGUUGGUAAGGUAAUGGCUUACCAAGGCGACGAUCUCUAGCUGGUUUGAGAGGAUGAUCAGCCACACUGGGACUGAGACACGGCCCAGACUCCUACGGGAGGCAGCAGUGGGGAAUAUUGCACAAUGGGCGAAAGCCUGAUGCAGCCAUGCCGCGUGUGUGAAGAAGGCCUUCGGGUUGUAAAGCACUUUCAGCGAGGAGGAAAGGUUAGUAGUUAAUAACUGCUAGCUGUGACGUUACUCGCAAAAGAAGCACCGGCUAACUUCGUGCCAGCAGCCGCGGUAAUACGAGGGGUGCAAGCGUUAAUCGGAAUUACUGGGCGUAAAGCGUGCGUAGGUGGUUUGUUAAGCAAGAUGUGAAAGCCCCGGGCUCAACCUGGGAACUGCAUUUUGAACUGGCAAACUAGAGUAUUGUAGAGGGUAGUGGAAUUUCCAGUGUAGCGGUGAAAUGCGUAGAGAUUGGAAGGAACAUCAGUGGCGAAGGCGGCUACCUGGACAAAUACUGACACUGAGGCACGAAAGCGUGGGAAGCAAACAGGAUUAGAUACCCUGGUAGUCCACGCCGA
rnacentral:rRNA from 1 species